GGGGGGGAAUGGGCAUGGGGACGGGGCGGGGGCGGGGACCGACAGCAACUACAGAAACGGAGCCGGCCGCCAACAACAGCGACGGAAUAUAACGAGAAACGACCGAAAACCAAUAGCUAUAAAGCGCAAAGAUACUGAGAUACUUGCACUCUGCGCAACGGCCCCAGAUACAGAUACAACACACCGAUUCAGAUUCAGAUACAGCCACAGAUACACAGCAGCCACGGAUUCUUGGCAACGCCAUCGGGGCGAAACACACAUACUGAUUUUACAUAUACUAUGCGCAUUGUACUUGGCAUUAAAUUAAUAACUAUUUGGAAAAUGCUCAACUUGGAGGGAAAAUCUAAAAGACAGAUUUCUUUUACUACGCCACUAUAAUUUUUGUUAUUAUUUUAAACGUUUUUACUUUAAGGAAAUUAUGUUUAUACAACCCUUGAUUAUAUUUUAACUUAAAAAUUCAGAAAUAUGGAAAUAAAAUACUUGUCACUUUAUGUUUUUACCAAAAACAUAGCUUUAUUAA